rnacentral:ncRNA from 1 species
AAAGAUUUAGUCCUAACCUUACCGUUAGUUCUUGCCAGGUAUAUACAUGCAAGCAUCCGCGCUCCAGUGUAAAUGCCCAUAGCCCCUUACCAGGGCACAAGGAGCGGGCAUCAGGCACGCUACCCGUCGCAGCCUAAGACGCCUUGUUCAGCCACGCCCUCACGGGUAUUCAGCAGUAAUUAACAUUGAGCUAUGAGCGAAAGCUCGACUCAGCCACGGCAGCACCAGGGUUGGUAAAUCUUGUGCCAGCCACCGCGGUCACACAAGAGACCCAAACUAACUGUGCGCGGCGUAAAGAGUGGUACCGCACUAUCAUGCCAACUAGGGCCAAAAUGUUACUGAGCUGUCAUAAGCCCAAGUCACACAUAAGAUCUUCGACCAAAAUGGCCCUAGUACUCACGACCAAUCAAGCCCCACGAAAGCCAGGACACAAACUGGGAUUAGAUACCCCACUAUGCCUGGCCCUAAAUCUUGAUGUUUUUCCGUACAUAAAACAUCCGCCCGAGGACUACGAGCACAAACGCUUAAAACUCUAAGGACUUGGCGGUGCCCCAAACCCACCUAGAGGAGCCUGUUCUAUAAUCGAUAACCCACGAUACACCCUACCCCCCCUUGCCCGAAGCAGCCUAUAUACCGCCGUCCCCAGCCCACCUCCCUUGAGAGCACAGCAGUGGGCCCAACAGUCCCAGCCCCACUAGUAAGACAGGUCAAGGUAUAGCCCACGGGGGGGAAAGAAAUGGGCUACAUUUCCUAAGAUAGAAAACUCCACGAAAGGGGGUAUGAAACUCCCCUGGAAGGCGGAUUUAGCAGUAAAGCGGGACAAUAACGCCCCCUUUAAGUCGGCCCUGGGGCACGUACAUACCGCCCGUCACCCUCCUCAUGAGCUAUUUCCCCACAUAAAUAAUACAUACAUCAGCUGAAGACGAGGUAAGUCGUAACAAGGUAAGUGUACCGGAAGGUGCACUUAGCAUAC